rnacentral:rRNA from 1 species
UACAGAGGGUGCGAGCGUUAAUCGGAAUUACUGGGCGUAAAGCGCGCGUAGGCGGCUUUGCAAGUCGGGUGUGAAAUCCCCAAGCUCAACUUGGGAACUGCAUUCGAGACUGCAUUGCUAGAGUAUGGGAGAGGGCAGUGGAAUUUCAGGUGUAGCGGUGAAAUGCGUAGAUAUCUGAAGGAACAUCAGUGGCGAAAGCGACUGCCUGGACCAAUACUGACGCUCAUGUGCGAAAGCGUGGGAGCAAACAGGG